ensembl:snRNA U6 U6 spliceosomal RNA
GUGCUUCCUUCAGCAGCACAUAUACUAAAAUUGGAAUGAUGCAGAGAAGAUUAGCAUGGCCCCUGAGCAAGGAUGACAUGCAAAUUCAUAAAUAUAUAAUCCUCCUA